GUCGAACGGUAACAGGUCUUCGGAUGCUGACGAGUGGCGAACGGGUGAGUAAUACAUCGGAACGUGCCCAGUAAUGGGGGAUAGCUCGGCGAAAGCCGGAUUAAUACCGCAUACGCCCUGAGGGGGAAAGUGGGGGAUCGCAAGACCUCACGUUAUUGGAGCGGCCGAUGGCUGAUUAGCUAGUUGGUAGGGUAAAGGCCUACCAAGGCGACGAUCAGUAGCUGGUCUGAGAGGACGAUCAGCCACACUGGGACUGAGACACGGCCCAGACUCCUACGGGAGGCAGCAGUGGGGAAUUUUGGACAAUGGGGGAAACCCUGAUCCAGCAAUGCCGCGUGUGCGAAGAAGGCCUUCGGGUUGUAAAGCACUUUUGUCAGGGAAGAAAUCCUUUGGGCUAAUACCCUAGGGGGAUGACGGUACCUGAAGAAUAAGCACCGGCUAACUACGUGCCAGCAGCCGCGGUAAUACGUAGGGUGCAAGCGUUAAUCGGAAUUACUGGGCGUAAAGCGUGCGCAGGCGGUUUGGUCAGUCAGGCGUGAAAUUCCUGGGCUCAACCUGGGGGCUGCGCUUGAUACGGCCAGACUUGAGGACGGAAGAGGCUCGCGGAAUUCCCAGUGUAGAGGUGAA
rnacentral:rRNA from 1 species